rnacentral:lncRNA from 1 species
AUUAACCCGGGAGAAAGCGGCGAUGAUGGUACUCGCCAGAGACCACAUUGAAUCACAGUGGAGUGAGAGAGAAACGAUGUUGGUGGUGCACGCCGGAGACCACCAACAGUAUUGAUAGAUAAUGUGAAGUAUGUAACCUAUUCUUGCAUGCUUUCUUUUAAGGAUCUAUUCCUCUAGUGGCUACCUGAGAACGGAAAACUUAUGUGGAAAAUGCAUCUUCACUGAUC